AUUGAACGCUGGCGGCAGGCCUAACACAUGCAAGUCGAGCGAGCGGCGGGCGGGUGAGUCCUAUCUGGGAAACUGCCUGAUGGGGGGGGAGAACUAAUGGGGACGGUAGCACAUACCGCAUACAAUCAGAUAUGAGCCGAUCGGAUUAGAUAGUGGGUGGGGUAACGGCGCACCAAGGCGACGAUCCCUAGCUGGUCUGAGAGGAUGACCAGUCACACUGGAACUGAGACACGGUCCAGACUCCUACGGGAGGCAGCAGUGGGGAAUAUUGCACAAUGGGCGAAAGCCUGAUGCAGCCAUGCCGCGUGUGUGAAGAAGGUCUUCGGGUUGUAAAGCACUUUAAGUGGGGAGGCGUUACCCGCAGAAGAAGCACCGGCUAACUCCGUGCCAGCAGCCGCGGUAAUUC
rnacentral:rRNA from 1 species